GACAGAGUGCCAGAGUGGUUAAUGGGCUUGACUAGAAAUCAUGUGGUUUCGGCCGCGCAGGUUCGAAUCCUGUCUCUGUCG
rfam:Claviceps purpurea 20.1, WGS project CAGA01000000 data, contig: scaffold00017